GUGAGGCAAUGGCUGCACUACAGGGCAGAAUAAUCCCUGCACCAUUGUAGGGGAGUUGGGUAGUCCACCCCAGCUCCCCAAAACACAGGAGUCUUCUCAGAUGUGCAGCAGAGGAUCGGACAUUGCUGUUGGCCUUGAGGAAACUAUGGAGAGGGAUUCAUCUACUGAAAGCCAGACACAGACUGCAGUACUGGAGCAAUAAGACUGUGAGGAGGAAAGACCAUGAUGAAAGAUUCUACUCCUGCAGUGAAUCUCCCCCCUGGUUGUCAUGGAUUCCUCUACUAAGAAUCUCCAUGCUGCUGUGGAUUGAAGCCCUAAACCAGACGUGUCAGAACCAUCUGGUUUGGUGUGGAGAUACUGGUGCAGAUCCAUCCCUGGCUGGGUUUAUGUUUUCACCACAGCUUCAUGGAUGCAGGAACCUUUCAAAUAUGGGAGAACAAAAUCACAGUGACCGCAUUAAUGAGCCAGAGGUGCAUUCUGGGGCAGAAUAAUCCCCGCACUUUCACAAGGGGGCUGGGUAGUCCACCCCAGCUCCCCAAACCUUGGAUAUGUGUGAAACAUUGCAUCAUUUCUCUUGCACUCCCCAAUGCCUGGAUUCAUUUUUCACAGAAGGGUAUAGAAUGUCAUGGAUGAGGAUGUUUACAUUUGGAGUUGAAUCUGUGAGGCAAUGGCUGCACUACAGGGCAGAAUAAUCCCUGCACCAUUGCAGGGGGGGUUGGGUAGUCCACCCCAGCUCCCCAAAAUUAUGUACAUUUUAUGGAAAUUACGUUAUUUUCUGUGUCCCAGUACAGGAAUUUAUUGUGAUAUGCAUUUAAUCAAGGAAGUAGAUUUGAAAGUAGACAGGAAAUGUAUAUUAUCAUGUAUAAUUCCAGCUGUAUUUGUGAGGCAAUGGCUGCACUACAGGGCAGAAUAAUCCCUGCACCAUUGUAGGGGAGUUGGGCAGUCCACCCCAGCUCCCCAAAACUAUGGAUAACCCUGAAUACGUGAUUAUUUAAUUUUUCAUGUCGGUAUUCAGGGAUUUAUUGUGAUGCGCAUUUAAUCAAGGAAGUAGAUUUGCAAGGACAAGAAAAUGUUACUAUCAUGUAUAAUUCUAGCGGUAUUUGUGAGGCAAUGGCUGCACUACAGGGCAGAAUAAUCCCUGCACCAUUGCUGGGGAGUUGGGUAGUCCACCCCAGCUCCCCAAAACACAGGAGACUUUUCAGAUGUGCAGCAGAGGAUCGGACAUUGCUCUUUUCACCACAGCUUCAUGGAUGCAGGAACCUUUCAAAUAUGGGAGAACAAAACCACAGUGGCUGGAUUCAUGAGCCACAGGUGCAUUCUGGGGCAGAAUAAUCCCCGCACUUUCACAGGGGGGCUGGGUAGUCCACCCCAGCUCCCCAAACCUUGGAUAUGUGUGAAACAUUGCAUCAUUUCUUUUGCACUUCAUGAUGCCUGGAUGAAUUGUUCACUGAAGGAUAUAGAAUGUCAUGGAUGAGGAUGUUUAAAUUUGUAAUUUAAUCUGUGAGGCAAUGGCUGCACUACAGGGCAGAAUAAUCCCUGCACCAUUGCUGGGUAGUUGGGUAGUCCACCCCAGCUCCCCAAAAUUAUGUUAAUUUUACGGAAAUUAUGUUCUUUUCUGUGAUCAAAUACAGGAAUUUAUUGUGAUAUGCAUUUAAUCAAGGAAGUAGAUUUGAAAGUAGACAGAACAUGUUUAUUAUCAUGAAUAAUUGUAGCGGUAUCUGUGAGGCAAUGGCUGCACUACAGGGCAGAAUAAUCCCUGCACCAUUGUAGGGGAGAUGGGUAGUCCACCCCAGCUCCCCACCCAACCACAAACCCAAGGAUUU